AGGAUGAGACUCCAAAAUUGCUAAAAGCUAACAGCUCUUGGAAGGGGAUAAAGAAUGAGUGAAAGUGAAUCUGAGAGAAGUAAAGUGCCUUGUCCAAGAUCCCAUAAAAUAGAUAAUUAUGGAGGGAGUGUCUGCGAUUUCAGUCCAGUAAUAGAUCCAAUGAAGAAUAUGGAAAUUUAUCCAAAAUGUUUAGC